rnacentral:rRNA from 1 species
UACGUAGGGGGCAAGCGUUGUCCGGAUUCAUUGGGCGUAAAGAGCGUGUAGGCGGCCAGGUAGGUCGGUUGUGAAAACUGGAGGCUCAACCUUCAGAGGUCGACCGAAACCAUCUGGCUAGAGUCCGGGAGAGGAGAGUGGAAUUCCUGGUGUAGCGGUGAAAUGCGCAGAUAUCAGGAAGAACACCCGUGGCGAAAGCGGCUACCUGGAACGGUACUGACGCUGAGACGCGAAAGCGUGGGGAGCGAACAGG